rnacentral:rRNA from 1 species
GACGGAGGGGGCAAGCGUUAUCCGGAAUUAUUGGGCGUAAAGCGCCCGCAGGUGGCGAUUCAAGUCAGCUGUCAAAGGUCGGGGCUUAACCCCGGGAAUGCCGUGGAAACUGAAUAGCUAGAGUGCGGUAGGGGCAGAGGGAAUUCCCGGUGUAGCGGUGAAAUGCGUAGAUAUUCGGAAGAACACCAGUGGCGAAAGCGGCUUGCUGGGCCUGUACUGACCCUGAGGGGCGAAAGCUAGGGGAGCGAAAUGG